rnacentral:rRNA from 1 species
UGAGCAACCUACCGAAAUGUGGGGGAUAGCCGGCCCAACGGCCGGGUAAUACCGCAUACGCUCGAGACCAGGCAUUUGGACUCGAGGAAAUUUACGGAGCAUUUCGAGGGCUCGCGGCCUAUCAGCUAGUUGGUGAGGUAACGGCUCACCAAGGCGACGACGGAUAGCUGGUCUGAGAGGAUGGCCAGCCACAUUGGGACUGAGAUACGGCCCAGACCUCCGUACGGGGAGNAG